rfam:Capsicum annuum cultivar Zunla-1 unplaced genomic scaffold scaffold1038, whole genome shotgun sequence
AUGUUGUUGAUGUGGACACUCCCAAAGAAGAGACUUAAAGAGUUCCCAAGCAUGAUAAAGGUUUUUAUUAGUCUUCUAUUUGAAGCUUAAUAUUUCAAUGCAAAGUCU